UACGUAGGGGGCUAGCGUUGUCCGGAAUUAUUGGGCGUAAAGGGCUCGUAGGCGGUUUGUCACGUCGGGAGUGAAAACUCGGGGCUUAACCCCGAGCCUGCUUCCGAUACGGGCAGACUAGAGGUAUGCAGGGGAGAACGGAAUUCCUGGUGUAGCGGUGAAAUGCGCAGAUAUCAGGAGGAACACCGGUGGCGAAGGCGGUUCUCUGGGCAUUACCUGACGCUGAGGAGCGAAAGUGUGGGGAGCGAACAGG
rnacentral:rRNA from 1 species